rnacentral:lncRNA from 1 species
UUGCUUUGAAGUGGAUGUGGAUAAUGGAUUUUUUUUUUUCUAUGAUGUUGGUGUUUCGAUGCCUACUAUGUGUCUGUUUGGCUCCACUUUUGUUUUACGAUGUUGGUGUUUCGAUGUGUGCUAUGUUAGGUAUUUUUUCAGUCUUAUUGAAGAAAAGGUUUUGUGAACUCACGGAUUAAGCAGGUAUAAAGUUUAACAUCUUGUAUAAAUUUCAUUCAGGUUUCUGUAAAUAUAGUGAAUGGUAAAUAUAUUUUUAUAAAACUUAAUUUUUAUAUAUUGAUCUUGCAAAAGUUUUGAUAUUUUUAAAUAUAUUUUUGCCGCUAGAAUCCGUUAGAAAAAUUUAAUUAAUCAUAGAUUAAAUAGUUAACUAUGAUUAAUUUCUGAUAUUUUUAUUCUUCUUAUAUUAUACUGUUAUAAUUUUUUGAGAAAUAUUUGUAAUGGCAAAAUUAAAAAGAUAAAUAGUUUUUUAACAGUUCGCCAACGGUAAUGAACCAGAGGGACAUAUUUGAAAACAUUAAGACUUUCGUAGGAACGAUAUAUAAAAAUUAAAUUUUUUAAGAAUAUAUUUAUCAUUCACUAUGUUUGUAGAGAUCUAUAUGAAAUUAACCCUUACAUCUAUAUAUAGAGCAUAUAGAUAGUUUUUUUUUUUUAAUGAUCAAUUGUUCAACAAAGUAGGUAUCUUGUUACCAUUCACUCUCAUUUUAAAUCUGUCUGAAUAUUUAGACUAUGAUUAAAAUUUUCAUCUACAAAAUAUUAUAUAUAUAUUUUAAAUAUAUUAAAAAUAUAGAGUGGGCUGGUAUGCUUCUGGAAGCACGGAGCCCUCCGUGCUUCCAAGUUGUUUUCGAUGUUCGGACUUUCGAAUCGACGAUCGGCUCCGUUAGACUUGAUCUAGAGUAUUUGAAGUACCUAAAAAAUAAAUUUUGUAAUUUUUCGAUAUCAUUUGCCUAGUGAUCGAAGGAGCUCAAAAUCAAUAAUUUUAACGGCUGUGGUGAGCCGUUUGCAAGUUUAACGGUGUAGAAAUAUUCAAAUCACAUGAAAUUUUGAUAGAAAAUUCUUUAUACCAUAUAAAACAAGAUCAAUAACUUUGAUCUAAAAUUUUAAUGUUAUAUCAUCAUAUUUUGUAAGAUUUUUAUUUUCAGCCGUUGACUUUGAGCCACUUCGAUCACUAGGCAAAUGAUAUCGAAAAAUCGUAAAAUUUAUUUUCUAGAUACUUCAAAUACUCUAAAUCAAGUCUAACGGAGCCGAUCGUCGAUUCGAAAGUCCGAACAUCGAAAACAACUUGAAAGCACGGAGUGCUCCGUGCUUCCAGAAGCAUACCAGACGCACUCUAAAAAUAUAUUAAAUAAAAUAUUUAUGCAUGUAAAUAAAAUUUUAAUAUAUUUACAAUAUAUUUUAC